rnacentral:rRNA from 1 species
GGGUAGCGGAGAAAUUCCAAUCGAACUUGGAGAUAGCUGGUUCUCUCCGAAAUAGCUUUAGGGCUAGCCUCAAGUGAUGAUUAUUGGAGGUAGAGCACUGUUUGGACGAGGGGCCCCUCUCGGGUUACCGAAUUCAGACAAACUCCGAAUGCCAAUUAAUUUAACUUGGGAGUCAGAACAUGGGUGAUAAGGUCCGUGUUCGAAAGGGAAACAGCCCAGACCACCAGCUAAGGUCCCAAAAUAUAUGUUAAGUGGAAAAGGAUGUGGCGUUGCCCAGACAACUAGGAUGUUGGCUUAGAAGCAGCCAUCAUUUAAAGAGUGCGUAAUAGCUCACUAGUCGAGUGACACUGCGCCGAAAAUGUACCGGGGCUAAACAUAUUACCGAAGCUGUGGAUUGUCCGUAGGACAAUGGUAGGAGAGCGUUCUAAGGGCGUUGAAGCAUGAUCGCAAGGACAUGUGGAGCGCUUAGAAGUGAGAAUGCCGGUGUGAGUAGCGAAAGACGGGUGAGAAUCCCGUCCACCGAUUGACUAAGGUUUCCAGAGGAAGGCUCGUCCGCUCUGGGUUAGUCGGGUCCUAAGCUGAGGCCGACAGGCGUAGGCGAUGGAUAACAGGUUGAUAUUCCUGUACCACCUAGCAUCGUUUUAAUCGAUGGGGGGACGCAGUAGGAUAGGCGAAGCGUACGAUUGGAUUGUACGUCCAAGCAGUGAGAUUGAGUGUUAGGCAAAUCCGGCACUCUUAAGAUUGAGCUGUGAUGGGGAGAGGAAAUUGUUUCCUCGAGUCGUUGAUUUCACACUGCCGAGAAAAGCCUCUAGAUAGAUAAUAGGUGCCCGUACCGCAAACCGACACAGGUAGUCAAGAUGAGAAUUCUAAGGUGAGCGAGCGAACUCUCGUUAAGGAACUCGGCAAAAUGACCCCGUAACUUCGGGAGAAGGGGUGCUCUUUAGGGUGCAAGCCCAGAAGAGCCGCAGUGAAUAGGCCCAAGCGACUGUUUAUCAAAAACACAGGUCUCUGCUAAACCGUAAGGUGAUGUAUAGGGGCUGACGCCUGCCCGGUGCUGGAAGGUUAAGAGGAGUGGUUAGCUUCUGCGAAGCUACGAAUCGAAGCCCCAGUAAACGGCGGCCGUAACUAUAACGGUCCUAAGGUAGCGAAAUUCCUUGUCGGGUAAGUUCCGACCCGCACGAAAGGCGUAACGAUUUGGGCACUGUCUCAACGAGAGACUCGGUGAAAUCAUAGUACCUGUGAAGAUGCAGGUUACCCGCGACAGGACGGAAAGACCCCGUGGAGCUUUACUGUAGCCUGAUAUUGAAAUUCGGCACAGCUUGUACAGGAUAGGUAGGAGCCUUUGAAACGUGAGCGCUAGCUUACGUGGAGGCGCUGGUGGGAUACUACCCUAGCUGUGUUGGCUUUCUAACCCGCACCACUUAUCGUGGUGGGAGACAGUGUCAGGCGGGCAGUUUGACUGGGGCGGUCGCCUCCUAAAAGGUAACGGAGGCGCUCAAAGGUUCCCUCAGAAUGGUUGGAAAUCAUUCAUAGAGUGUAAAGGCAUAAGGGAGCUUGACUGCGAGACCUACAAGUCGAGCAGGGUCGAAAGACGGACUUAGUGAUCCGGUGGUUCCGCAUGGAAGGGCCAUCGCUCAACGGAUAAAAGCUACCCCGGGGAUAACAGGCUUAUCUCCCCCAAGAGUUCACAUCGACGGGGAGGUUUGGCACCUCGAUGUCGGCUCAUCGCAUCCUGGGGCUGUAGUCGGUCCCAAGGGUUGGGCUGUUCGCCCAUUAAAGCGGUACGCGAGCUGGGUUCAGAACGUCGUGAGACAGUUCGGUCCCUAUCCGUCGUGGGCGUAGGAAAUUUGAGAGGAGCUG